rnacentral:piRNA from 1 species
CUAAUCAUUCAAGGUGCAUC